AUUGAACGCUGGCGGCAGGCCUAACACAUGCAAGUCGAACGAGUGGCGGACGGGGGAGUAAUGUCUGGGAAACUGCCCGAUGGAGGGGGAUAACUACUGGAAACGGUAGCUCAUAUCGCACACCAUCGGCUGUGUGCAGAUGGGAUUAGCUUGUAGGUGAGGUAACGGCUCACCUAGGCGACGAUCCCUAGCUGGUCUGAGAGGUUGACCAGCCACACUGGAACUGAGACACGGUCCAGACUCCUACGGGAGGCAGCAGUGGGGAAUAUUGCACAAUGGGCGCAAGCCGGAUGCAGCCAUGCCGCGUGUAUGAAGAAGGCCUUCGGGUUGUAAAGUACUUUCAGCGGGGAGGCGUUACCCGAAGAAGAAGCACCGGCUAACUCCGUGCCAGCAGCCGCGGUAAUAC
rnacentral:rRNA from 1 species